rnacentral:rRNA from 1 species
GGCGGACGGGUGAGUAACACGUGGGCAACCUGCCUGUAAGACUGGGAUAACCCCGGGAAACCGGAGCUAAUACCGGAUAAUUUGGGUCACCGCAUGGUGACCGAAUGAAAGAUGGUUUCGGCCAUCGCUUACAGAGGGGCCCGCGGCGCAUUAUCUAGUUGGUAAGGUAAUGGGUUACCAAGGCAUCAAUGCGUAGCCGACCUGAGAGGGUGAUCGGCCACACUGGGACUGAGACACGGCCCAGACUCCUACGGGAGGCAGCAGUAGGGAAUCUUCCGCAAUGGACGAAAGUCUGACGGAGCAACGCCGCGUGAGUGAGGAAGGUUUUCGGAUCUUAAAGCUCUGUUGUUGGUGAAGAACCCUCCUGUGAGGAAAUGCACAGGAGUUGACGGUAGCCAACCAGAAAGCCCCGGCUAACUACGUGCCAGCAGCCGCGGUAAUACGUAGGGGGCAAGCGUUGUCCGGAAUGAUUGGGGGUAAAGCGCGCGCAGGCGGCUUCUUAAGUCUGAUGUGAAAGCCCACGGCUCAUCCGUGGAGGGUCAUUGUAAACUGGGGAGCUUGAGUACAGGAGAGGAGAGUGGAAUUCCACGUGUAGCGGUGAAAUGCGUAGAGAUGUGGAGGAACACCAGUGGCGAAGGCGGCU